UUGUAGCAACAAAUUAAUAUCUAAGUAACUUUGAGUACAAGGCUUUUUAUUCCAAUUUGACAAAUUUAUUCAAUUAGAAUGAGCAUGUGGCGAAAUGAUAGUAAAACUAAUUUUUCACCACCUGAUUCACAGCAAGUACCAGAAACAAUCUUUUCAAACAACAUCUCUACAUAAGCUGGAAAAGGUGCUUCUAGCACAGAAUAAGAAUGGCGUUGGAACUUAGAAUUCAGAACAGAAUGCGGCUAAUAAUAAACCAUUGUUCCUCUUUGAUUUUUGUAAGUAUGGAUCCUCUACUGCAUCAAGCACUCUGCGGCAAAGCAAUUGUGAGAAAUAAACUCUGACAGAUAAUCGCUGCUCGUCCUAGUUGCUCCAGAAAUAAUCUCCUUUCCUGAAUCCUGUAAUAAAACCAGAAGUGAUAAGGAAGUAAAAAACAAUCACAUAGCAAAGUGCAGCUAAACAAGAGCUUGUAAAAAUUAAAUAACUUGGUCUCGGGGAGGAAAAAAACUCACAAUAAUUGUUGUGUUUGGAAGAAUGGGAACCUCAGGGCUGAAAAAAAAAUCACUUGCAUAAAGGACCGAAACAAGCAUAGAUUUCCAAGGAAAACAAUAUCCUCAUCCAUUUGCUCAACAGUACACCAAAUCUAUGAGGUUGAAGUUAAACAAUUUAUCAGUUAUGUAUGGUGAUGUGAACAUUACUUCCCAAGAGGCCAUUGUCUUCAAUCUGACAAAAAGGAUGUGCAUUGGACCAUGUAUGUAUUUAAAGGACUAAUGUUAAAAAAAAACUAUCAAAGAGGAAAUUUAUACCUGAGACUGCUUCCAUCUUGGUUCCUGUCACACCCUUGAGGCCCCUGGUUCUUCAUCUGCAAACAGG
rnacentral:lncRNA from 1 species